UACGUAGGGGGCAAGCGUCGUCCGGAUUUAUUGGGCGUAAAGAGUGUGUAGGCGGCCAGGUAGGUCCGUUGUGAAAACUCGAGGCUCAACCUCGAGACGUCGAUGGAAACCAUCUGGCUAGAGUCCGGAAGAGGAGAGUGGAAUUCCUGGUGUAGCGGUGAAAUGCGCAGAUAUCAGGAAGAACACCCGUGGCGAAGGCGGCUCUCUGGGACGGUACUGACGCUGAGACGCGAAAGCGUGGGGAGCGAACAGG
rnacentral:rRNA from 1 species